rnacentral:rRNA from 1 species
ACUUUACAAUGCGGGAAACCGUGAUAAGGGGACACCGAGUGCCAGCAUCAUAUGUUGGCUGUCCAGAUGUGUAAAAUACAUCUGUUAGCAAGGGCCGGGCAAGACCGGUGCCAGCCGCCGCGGUAACACCGGCGGCCCGAGUGGUGAUCGUGAUUAUUGGGUCUAAAGGGUCCGUAGCCGGUUUGGUCAGUCCUCCGGGAAAUCUGACGGCUCAACCGUUAGGCUUUCGGUGGAUACUGCCAGACUUGGAACCGGGAGAGGUAAGAGGUACUACAGGGGUAGGAGUGAAAUCUUGUAAUCCCUGUGAGACCACCUGUGGCGAAGGCGUCUUACCAGAACGGGUUCGACGGUGAGGGACGAAAGCUGGGGGCACGAACCGGA